rnacentral:rRNA from 1 species
GAUGAACGCUGGCGGCGUGCCUAAUACAUGCAAGUCGAGCGAACUGACGAGAAGCUUGCUUCUCUGAUGUUAGCGGCGGACGGGUGAGUAACACGUGGAUAACCUACCUAUAAGACUGGGAUAACUUCGGGAAACCGGAGCUAAUACCGGAUAAUAUUUUGAACCGCAUGGUUCAAAAGUGAAAGACGGUCUUGCUGUCACUUAUAGAUGGAUCCGCGCUGCAUUAGCUAGUUGGUAAGGUAACGGCUUACCAAGGCAACGAUGCAUAGCCGACCUGAGAGGGUGAUCGGCCACACGGGAACUGAGACACGGUCCAGACUCCUACGGGAGGCAGCAGUAGGGAAUCUUCCGCAAUGGGCGAAAGCCGGACGGAGCAACGCCGCGUGAGUGAUGAAGGUCUUCGGAUCGUAAAACUCUGUUAUUAGGGAAGAACAUAUGUGUAAGUAACUGUGCACAUCUUGACGGUACCUAAUCAGAAAGCCACGGCUAACUACGUG